rnacentral:rRNA from 1 species
UACGGGGGGAGCAAGCGUUGUUCGGAUUUACUGGGCGUAAAGGGCGCGUAGGCGGCCAGCACAAGUCAGUUGUGAAAUCUCCGAGCUUAACUCGGAAAGGUCAACUGAUACUGUGCGGCUAGAGUGCGGAAGGGGCAACUGGAAUUCUUGGUGUAGCAGUGAAAUGCGUAGAUAUCAAGAGGAACACCUGCGGCGAAGGCGGGUUGCUGGGCCGACACUGACGCUGAGGCGCGAAAGCCAGGGGAGCGAACGGG